UACGGGCAGCAGUGGGGAAUAUUGCACAAUGGGCGAAAGCCUGAUGCAGCUAUGCCGCGUGUAUGAAGAAGGCCUUAGGGUUGUAAAGUACUUUCAUCGGGGAGGAAAAAACAAAACUAAUAAUUUUAUUUCUUGACGUUACCCGAAAAAGAAGCACCGGCUAACUCCGUGCCAGCAGCCGCGGUAAUACGGAGGGUGCUAGCGUUAAUCAGAAUUACUGGGCGUAAAGAGCACGUAGGUGGUUUUUUUAAAGUCAGAUGUGAAAUCCCUGGGCUUAACCUAGGAACUGCAUUUUGAAACUGAAAUACUAGAGUAUCGUAGAGGGAGGUAGAAUUCUAGGUGUAGCGGUGAAAUGCGUAGAUAUCUGGAGGAAUACCUGUGGCGAAAGCGGCCUCCUAAACGAAUACUGACACUGAGGGUGCGAAAGCGUGGGGAGCAAACAGGGAUUAGAUACC
rnacentral:rRNA from 1 species